rnacentral:snoRNA from 1 species
GUAUAUGAUGAUUUACCACAUUUCACGACGGUCUACUGCGUUUGGGAACUUGUAAUUCCCUUACCUUGAUGAUAUUCUCGGCCUUGACCGGCCGUGGUUCCUGAAA